rnacentral:rRNA from 1 species
CAGCAGCCGCGGUAAUACGUAGGUGGCGAGCGUUAUCCGGACUUACUGGGCGUAAAGGGUGUGUAGGUGGCUGCCAUAGUCGGGCGUGAAAUCCCGGGGCUUAACCUCGGGUUUGCGUUCGAUACUUGGUGGCUGGAGUGCGGGAGAGGGAAGUGGAAUUCCCGGUGUAGCGGUGAAAUGCGUAGAUAUCGGGAGGAACGCCGGUGGCGAAGGCGGCUUCCUGGCCCGUUACUGACGCUGAGGCACGAAAGCCAGGGGAGCGAACCGGAUUAGAUACCCGGGUAGUCCUGGCUGUAAACCAUGGGCGCUAGGUGUGGGUGGGGGUGAGCCAUCUGUGCCGAAGCUAACGCGUUAAGCGCCCCGCCUGGGGAGUACGGUCGCAAGGCUGAAACUUAAAGGAAUUGGCGGG